UACGUAGGGUGCGAGCGUUGUCCGGAAUUAUUGGGCGUAAAGGGCUCGUAGGCGGUCUGUCGCGUCGGGGAGUGAAAACUCAGGGCUUAACCCUGAGCCUGCUUCCGAUACGGGCAGACUAGAGGUAUGCAGGGGAGAACGGAAUUCCAGGUGUAGCGGUGAAAUGCGUAGAUAUCUGGAGGAACACCGGUGGCGAAGGCGGCUCUCUGGACCGAUACUGACGCUGAGGCGCGAAAGCGUGGGGAGCAAACAGG
rnacentral:rRNA from 1 species